rfam:Oryza glumipatula chromosome 6, whole genome shotgun sequence.
AAAAAAUUAAACCAUAGGUUUCUAUGUCCAACUUUAACUGUCUGUCUUAUAUAAAUUUUGUUUUAUAAUUCGUAUUUUUAUUGUUGUUAGAUGAUAAAAUAUGAUUAAUAUUUUAUGCGUGACUUGUCUUUUUAAAUUUUUUUAUAAAUUUUUAAAUAAGACGGACGGUCAAACGUUGGGCACGGAAACUAAGGUUUGUAUUUUUU